rnacentral:misc_RNA from 1 species
UCUCCGUAGGUGAACCUGCGGAGGGAUCAUUACAAAAUUGGCGCUUUCGGCGUCCAACGACACCUUCCUGUGUGAGCAAAAAGCUUGCUUUGGCGCCUCGGCGUCAUAUUUAUGCAGAUUUGCAAUUGAAUCUGAGAAACAAACAAAUUUAAAACUUUCAACAAAGGAUCUCUUGGCUCUUGCAUCGAUGAAGAACGAAGC